ensembl:lncRNA
AUGGGACAGGCUGGGCUGAAGAUACUCUCUGGGAAGCAGAUGGGACAGGCUGGGCUGAAGCCACACGUUGGUAGCUGCUCGCUACAGGUUGAGCUGAAGCCACGUGUUGGUAGCUGCUCGCUACAGGCUGGGCGGAAGCCACCUUUUGGUAGCUGCUCGCUACAGGCUGGGCGGAAGCCACCUUUUGGUAGCUGCUCGCUCCAGGCUGGGCUGAAGAUACUCUCUGGGAAGCAGAUGGGAAAGGCGGGGCGGAAGCCACCUGUUGGUAGCUGCUCGCUACAGGCUGGGCUGAAGAUACUCUCUGGGAAGCAGAUGGGACAGGCUGGGCUGAAGCCAUGCGUUGGUAGCUGCUCGCUACAGGCUGGGCGGAAGCCACGUGUUGGUAGCUGCUCGCUACAGGCUGGGCGGAAGCCACCUUUUGGUAGCUGCUCGCUACAGGCUGGGCGGAAGCCACCUGUUGGUAGCUGCUCGCUACAGGCUGGGCGGACGAUACUCUCUGGGAAGCAGAUGGGACAGGCUGGGCUGAAGCCACGCGUUGGUAGCUGCUCGCUACAGGCUGGGCGGAAGCAACCUGUUGGUAGCCGCUCGCUACAGGCCGGGCGGAAGCAACCUGUUGGUAGCCGCUCGCUACAGGCCGGACUGAAGCCACGUGUUGGUAGCCGCUCGGGACAGGCCGGGCUGAAGCUACCUGUCGGCAGCUGCUCUGGACAGGCCGGGCUGAACCUGCCUGCUGGUAUGCUGUCUGCACAGACUGGUCUGAGGCUUGUUGGAAGGAGGUGCUUAGGGCAGGCUUAAGAUCCCUAGUUAGUGGCUGAAAGCUUGAAGUGUAGGUAGUUCCCUGAAAACUGAAUGCCCUUGAGCCUGCAUUGGUCAAACUACUAUCAAAGGCCUGAGUUUUUGAGAAGUCCUGGGUUUCCUCAAAAUAAGCUUCUUGACUAGGCACAAAUCCAGAAUCAGAGCUUGUCUGAGCAGUAGUACUUUCAGUGCUCCCAUCCUGAGCACCAUCUUUUGUACAAUGAUGCCUGUAAACUAAGUAUAGUUCACAUUCAAAGCAUGUAGUUUGUUAGAACUUUUCAUCUUGCUAAUGGAGAGUGAAAACUUACCACUUCCUGCAUCAGCAUAACUCAGUACUAGUAACAAAAUCCUGUUGAAAACAGAUAUAAUUAACAAAGAAAGCAAGCUGUUUUCUGUUAAAGAUCACUAAAUGAAAUCGACAUACCACAAAGGCUUCCAGAGUGUUUCUGCCAUUGCAAAAAUCAAAGCUCCAAAAACAACCCUGGCCACCCUCAAAAACAGACAAAUGUUUCUGUCCUACUUCUCCAAGCAGCCACAUGUUCCUUUAAUAUCAUCAAAAUGCACCUGCCCCACCUCUCCCUAUUGGCUGCUUGGAUGACGUGCUCACAUCACCUGUUUGUUGAGG